rnacentral:rRNA from 1 species
UACGUAGGGUGCAAGCGUUGUCCGGAAUUAUUGGGCGUAAAGAGCUCGUAGGCGGUCUGUCGCGUCGGCUGUGAAAACCUGGGGCUUAACCCCGGGCCUGCAGCCGAUACGGGCAGACUAGAGUUCGGCAGGGGAGACUGGAAUUCCUGGUGUGGCGGUGAAAUGCGCAGAUAUCAGGAGGAACACCGGUGGCGAAGGCGGGUCUCUGGGCCGAAACUGACGCUGAGGAGCGAAAGCGUGGGGAG